rnacentral:rRNA from 1 species
AUUGAACGCUGGCGGCAGGCCUAACACAUGCAAGUCGAACGGUAACAGGAAGAAGCUUGCUUCUUUGCUGACGAGUGGCGGACGGGUGAGUAAUGUCUGGGAAACUGCCUGAUGGAGGGGGAUAACUACUGGAAACGGUAGCUAAUACCGCAUAACGUCGCAAGACCAAAAAGGGGGACCUUCGGGCCUCUUGCCAUCGGAUGUGCCCAGAUGGGAUUAGCUGGUGGGUGGGGUAACGGCUCACCUAGGCGACGAUCCCUAGCUGGUCUGAGAGGAUGACCAGCCACACUGGAACGUAGACACGGCCCAGACCCCUACGGGAGGAACAAGUGGGGAAUUUUGGAAAAUGGGGGAAAGCCGGAUGAAGCAAGGCGGCGUGUAGAAAGAAGGCUUUCGGGUUGUAAAGCACUUCCGGGGGGAAGGAAGAGGAAAGUUCAAACACCUCGGCUCGUUGACGUUACCCGAAGAAGAAGCACCGGCUAACCCGGUG